rnacentral:tRNA from 1 species
UUAAUUGAAGCCAAAUAGAGGCGUUUCACUGUUAAUGAAAUUAAUGAUAAUAUCCAAUUAGA